GACGAACGCUGGCGGCGUGCCUAAUACAUGCAAGUUGAGCGCUGAAGGUUGGUACUUGUACCAACUGGAUGAGCAGCGAACGGGUGAGUAACGCGUGGGUAAUCUGCCUUUGAGCGGGGGACAACAUUUGGAAACGAAUGCUAAUACCGCAUAAAAACUUUAAACACAAGUUUUAAGUUUGAAAGAUGCAAUUGCAUCACUCAAAGAUGAUCCCGCGUUGUAUUAGCUAGUUGGUGAGGUAAAGGCUCACCAAGGCGAUGAUACAUAGCCGACCUGAGAGGGUGAUCGGCCACAAUGGGACUGAGACACGGCCCCAGCUCCUACGGGAGGCAGCAGUAGGGAAUCUUCGGCAAUGGACGAAAGGCUGACCGAGCAACGCCGCGUGAGUGAAGAAGGGUUUCGGAUCGUAAAACUCUGUUGGUAGAGAAGAAAGUUGGUGAGAGUGGAAAGCUCAUCAAGUGACGGUAACUACACAGAAAGGGACGGCUAACUACGUG
rnacentral:rRNA from 1 species